CCUCCUUGCCUUUCUGACUCUUCACUCUGACAACCCAUACUAAAUCUCCAAAUUGCUUAUGGGAACUGGAGUCUAUAUAUUAAUAGGUUGUUCCAUUUUAUUUUCUGCAGAAGGGAGCUGUAUUUGCAAUAGCUUUCCUUCACUCAAAACCCUUUGUCAAAAGAAGAACAGCAAGCUGCAUCUUUAUAUAUGAAAGACAUUCUGUUAAAUUGGUGAGACUAUAAUUGUUUCGACGGAAGCAAAAGUUGGCUACAUGAUUACAGUAUUAGGGCUCAAUACGUGAAUAUACAGAACAAAUGGCUCCCUAACUUAGCAGCCAAAGCUCCUACUCCAUGCCUGUUUCUUAAGACCCAUUCCCAGACUUAAAUGCCACCUGCCUAAAUGUUGGACCAAGCCUCCUAUGGAAGAACUCAGUCUCGUGACUUGAAAUGUCUGUUUGCAAUGAGCCCAGUCCUGAUGAUCUUACUCAAGCAAAACUCCCAUUGAAGACAUUUGGGACAAAUACAUCUCUGGUGUAACCUGGCAUGGAGAAAAUGGACUAACACCAGAUAUAAAUUUGACCCAAUGCUUACUGCCAUUAUCGAUGCUGGGAAAAAAAAAAAAAAAAAA